AGAGAUGUGUGAUGACGCAUAUCAAUAAGCGGAGGAAAAGAAACUAACAAGGAUUCCCUUAGUAACGGCGAGUGAAGCGGGAAGAGCUCAAAUUUGAAAUCUUCAAGGUUCUACCUUGACGAAUUGUAGUUUAUAGAAGUGUUUUCUGUUAGUAGAGUGGCAAAAGUUCUUUGGAAUAGGACAUCAUAGAGGGUGAGAAUCCCGUAUUUGGUCAUUCCUUCUAGCUUUGUGAUACACUUUCAACGAGUCGGAUUGUUUGGGAAUGCAGUCCAAAAUGGGUGGUAAAUUUCAUCUAAAGCUAAAUAUUGGCGAGAGACCGAUAGCGAACAAGUACCGUGAGGGAAAGAUGGAAAGAACUUUGAAAAGAGAGUUAAACAGUACGUGAAAUUGUCAAAAGGGAAGCGUUUGACACCAGUGUUGUUUUUCCGAAAAUCAAUUACGAAUGUUUUAGUUUUUAAGAAGUUAUGACUUCAUCGGCUUGCUUCUCUCUUUAUGAAACUUUCUUAAUGCACUUUUCGGUUAACAAGUCAACAUCAAUUUCUUUUGUUGUAAAAGGGUAUGAGGAAGGUGGCUUUCUUUUCGGAGAAAGUGUUUAUAGCCUUGUACCUCUGCAAUCGGAGAGAUUGAGGUCUGCAGCGUAGAUCCUUCGGGGUUAGAUACAUUUGUGCUAAGUUAUAGCUUUUCAUAGACAACUUGUUGACUAUGUUUAGUCUUGUAGCUUACUCGCUUAUGCUAUUUUACCUACGCUUAGGAUGUUGAAGAUGUAGCACAUCAU
rnacentral:rRNA from 1 species